AAAAAGAGAUUAGUAGGGAUCCAGCUUUCAGAGGGGGCAGCCUGUGGGCAAAUCCUGACCAUUUUACUUCCUGCACUGGCAGAACUCUCCUCCCAGAUGGGCUACAAAGAGGCAAGUUGAGGGCGGCGGCGAGGCGGCCGCAGGUUCAGCGUCUGGAGCCCAGGGCCUGGACCGCCUUCUCGCCCGCCUUUCCAGGCGGUGGCUGGUCACGUCGCGAGGAGGCGGGGCGGGAGGCGGGGCCUGCGUGGGGCUGGCUGGCGGCCAGGCUUCUUCGCACGUGGAGUCACCCCGAGGAGGAGGCCGCCCGGGUCGCGGACUGGAGGGAUCCGGACCCGCACAGCGGCAGGGAGCCGCCGGGCUCCAGCGCACGCGGGACUGAGAAGGUUGAUGGAGACGACCGGGCUACGGCACCUGCUGGGACAGUGCGCUCUGUAAUAGGGAGCAGCUGUGUCUCGUGUGCAGGUCCAGAUCACAUGGCAGUGUGUAAGUACAGCGUAGCUUAGUGACUGUGUGCACAGGUAGGACUAACGGUGAUCUCCUCCCAGCUCUGUACAUCGUACUUCACAAGCACUUCACUGUUAGCUCUGGUUCUCUAAACAGUGGCAAACUGCAUUAUAGCAGCAUUGCUGUGCGACACUGCUAUUGAAUAUAGCCAGUUUAGUUUCCUGUAUUCCAGUGUACUAUUAUUUACUACAGUUGGGAAAUGAACAUAGAAAUUACAUGAAUAAGACAUUGGUAAAAUAAUUCAGACAUUUCCCACAAUAUAAUUACAUUUCAUUAUUUUGUAAUUAGGCAGUCUUAAAAAUUUAUUUUCAUUUUUCUAUUUGAAAGGCAGCAAGACAGAGACAGAGUGAUUUCUUCUGCGAGUUAAUUCCUCAGAUGCCCACAACUGCUGCGGCUAGCCAGGCUGAAGCCAAGAGACCGGAACUCAGUCCAGGCCUCCCACAUGGGUGGCAUAGACCCAAGCACUUGAGCCACAUCCACUGCCUCCCAGGGUGCCCAUUAACAGGAAUGCUGGAAUCUGGAGCAGAGCCAGGACUUCAGCCUAGAGGCUCCAACAUGGGAUGAGGGUAUCUAACUCCUGUGCCAAACACCUGCCCUAAUUUAGGCAGUCUUAACGUCAGGUUUUUUUCCACCUCUCUCUUAGAGUUAUCUCAUUUACAGUUUUAAGGUAUGACAAAUAUUCAGGCUGCAAAGUCUUGUAAAAUUUUAGGCACUUGCUAAAAUAAGGAAUUUUGAGGGUGGGGUCAUUUUGCAUGAGUAGAGACUUCGGUUAAAUGGCUUAAAGAAAUGUAAGCCAAGAGCUUCUAAAUAAGAUUGUGAGGUCUGCCAGUGUAGAUCUAGGUUUACAAACACUGGUGGGUCCAACCACACACUGCCAGCACAAAUGCUAACGAGGUUGUAAAGUUAUCGCUCAGUUUCUUCUGAAUAACUCUAAGUAAAACAGAAACCCAAAUGAAGCAAGUAUUGAGAAUAUAUGUAGGUUGUUUUUAUAAGCAGAAAACUAAAGAUGCUCAAAAAUAACUCCAUUUCUAAGGCUUAUUAUUAGUGAAGACCAAGAUCUAUGUUUUGUAACUCCCAGAAACCCGUGCUAAGUGUUUGUCCAUCCUUUUGUUUUGCUUGGUUUUUGUUUUAGAAUAUUAAAGAUAAAUUCACCAUUCUUUGCAUGCACAAACAUCUCUGGGACCAACUAAGUUCAGUUUAAGGCAAGAUAAGUGUAAGUAGCAUAAGCCAUCGUUUAUAUGGAAAUAAGCCUGCUAGAUUCCCACUGUGGGAAUGCUGUCAGAGAGGUUGGAAUUCAGAGCCGCAGUACUCCUGAAGAGUGCUAAACCCUUUUUGCAAACCUUUUCCAGUGUACAAGCUUGCUUAUGCUUCCUGCUACCACGAUGCACACUCUUGGGUUCUUCGGGUCCUUCAGGCCUGUGACUCCUGUUGCUGAUUUGAUUGGAAUGAUCAAGAAAGCAAGGCAUUGUGGAAAGACACAAUGGGUAACCAGUAAAGUCUGCUGCUUAUGACAAUCGACGUAAUUGGCAGUGCCAACAAUUGGCCAAGUUGACUUCUUAUUUCAGUACUUUCAAAAUUAAUUAAAAUGUUGUGUUAGGGUUGGUGCUGUGGCACAGCAGAGUAAGCCUCCACCUGUGGCACUGGCAUCCCAUAAGGGUGCCGGUUCAUGUCCCAGCUGCUCUUCCAAUCCAGCUCCCUGCUAUGGCCUGGGAAAGCAGUAGAAGAUGGCCCAAGUGCCUGAGCCCCUGCACCCAUGUGGGAGACCCUGAAGAAGCUCCUUUCUCCUGGCUUCGUCUUAGCUCUGGCCACUGCAGCCAUCUGGGGAAUGAACCAGUGGAUGGCAGACCUCUCUGUCUCUCCCUCUCUCUGCUUGUAGCUCUGCCUUUCAAAUAAAUAAAUAAAUAAAAUAUUGAAAAUAAAUUUU
rnacentral:lncRNA from 1 species